AUUUUUACAAUGAAGAGUUUGAUCCUGGCUCAGGAUGAACGCUAGCUACAGGCUUAACACAUGCAAGU
rnacentral:rRNA from 1 species